rnacentral:rRNA from 1 species
UACGUAGGGUGCAAGCGUUAAUCGGAAUUACUGGGCGUAAAGCGUGCGCAGGCGGUUAUGGAAGACAGAGGUGAAAUCCCCGGGCUCAACCUGGGAACUGCCUUUGUGACUGCAUGGCUAGAGUACGGUAGAGGGGGAUGGAAUUCCGCGUGUAGCAGUGAAAUGCGUAGAUAUGCGGAGGAACACCGAUGGCGAAGGCAAUCCCCUGGACCUGUACUGACGCUCAUGCACGAAAGCGUGGGGAGCAAACAGG